UGAUCAGUCAACAGAAUGUUUCAUAACCUAUUUCAACUCUAGUCCUGGAAAUAUGACUCAUUGUGGAGUCCUUGUUUACUCUGUUUGGUUUAUUUCUACAUUUAAACUCUUGUGGAUGGCACUGUUGAGAGUGGCCAGCAAGUGCCUGAGUUCCCUUUUAAUUCUGCCUUAGAUUGAAUGUUUGUGUCUCUCCAGAAUUCAUAUAGUGAAAUAACCCUCAAGGAAAUGGAGAAGCCUGUUCUAAGUUCACUUGAAGCCAAAUUACAAAGGAGCAGACGGGAUCCCAGAAACAAAGAUGGCACCAG
rnacentral:lncRNA from 1 species